AUCUUCUUUCUUUGAAGGUGCUUCUGUUGCAGUCAGAGGUCAUCUGAGCUUCUCACUGAUUGAAGGAGUUACAGAGAGAGUCAGACACGAGCUGUGCUGCUGCUGCCGGCUGUGGAGCUGAACGUAGUUGAUGGGUUCUGUAAAAAUACUCACAUGAUGCUAGCUACGAGCUGCUGCACUGGUCUCCUCUUGGGGUCCAGGCAAUAGCGAUAGCCGCUGUUGGUGGUGACACUGUUGAAAUGGAAAGUAGAGAAGACGGUUGCUUGGAAGAUCUGGACAUCCUUUACGUCAGAGGUAUCCAACCUCUUGACACUUGAGCACAGACACUGCUUUCCCAAUCCAUGUCCUGAAGACAAAUACGAGGAAAAACAAAGGAAAUUAAAAUCACAGCUACCAAAACAUAUUGAACAUAUUGAACAAAAAUAAAUCUUUUGCUCUUUUA